UACAGAGGUGGCCGUAGCGUUGUCCGGAAUUACUGGGCGUAAAGAGCUCGUAGGUGGUUGUCGCGUUGUCCGUGAAACUCACAGCUCAACUGUGGGCGUGCGGGCGAUACGGGCAGACUGGAGUACUGCAGGGAGACUGGAAUUCCUGGUGUAGCGGUGGAAUGCGCAGAUAGUCAGGAGGAACACCCGUGGCGAAGGCGGCCCUCUGGCCGUCGACCCUGACGCUGAGGCGCGAAAGCGUGGGGAGCGAACGGG
rnacentral:rRNA from 1 species